UUUGUCUUCACCGGAAGUAUUUAUUUGUUUAACUUAUCAAAAGCAAUAAUAUUUUCUGGUGUAAAUAUUAUCCAAAUAAAUUCUACCCUCGAACCCUUCGAUCAAAGCAGUGCAGUUUUUCACUCACCAAAUCCUUCUUCACAUUCAAGUUUGGAAUUUGAUAUGCAGAAGAAGUCGACAUUGCCAUUGAAUGACGGAAGACACCACCACAUUGCCGAUCACCGCAUCGCCACACACCGCAUCGCCACAUUGCGUGGUGUGUUGCGGUGGUCGGCAAUGUAG